rnacentral:rRNA from 1 species
UACGAAGGGGGCGAGCGUUGUUCGGAAUUACUGGGCGUAAAGGGCGCGCAGGCGGCCUUAGAAGUCAGAUGUGAAAGCCCCGGGCUCAACCUGGGGAAUGGCAUUUGAUACUCUGAGGCUGGAGUACGGGAGAGGAGAGUGGAAUUCCCAGUGUAGAGGUGAAAUUCGUAGAUAUUGGGAAGAACACCGGUGGCGAAGGCGGCUCUCUGGGCCUGUUCUGACGCUGAGGCGCGAAAGCUAGGGGAGCGAACAGG